UACGUAGGGUGCGAGCGUUAAUCGGAAUUACUGGGCGUAAAGCGUGCGCAGGCGGUUCGUUAAGUUCGUUGUGAAAGCCCCGGGCUCAACCUGGGAACUGCAAUGGAAACUGGCGAGCUUGAGUGUGGCAGAGGGGGAUGGAAUUCCGCGUGUAGCAGUGAAAUGCGUAGAUAUGCGGAGGAACACCGAUGGCGAAGGCAAUCCCCUGGGCCUGCACUGACGCUCAUGCACGAAAGCGUGGGGAGCAAACAGG
rnacentral:rRNA from 1 species